CGGAAGGGUUUCCCUGACACACUGGCUGAGGUGCCCCAGUUCCCCGAGACUGGCCGGGAUCACUUCCGGUGGGGAAAGUCCCACCUCUCCGGGGCGAGCCGGGUGGCGCUGGGGCCGCGCCCUGCCGAGCGAGGCGGCCGGGGACGCUCCCGGGUCGGGGCCGCGGCCUUGGCAUAGGGCCUCGCUGAGGAGCUCCGGCGGCCUCCCUCUCCCCGCCCGCUGCCGCCGCCGCCGUCCCACCCCGAACCCGCUGCAGCCCCUGCGCGUCUCCGCGGCCUGAGGACUCGAGCGGCUGGUUGGCCGGAGCGGGAGGGCCGGCGAUCAUCUAGCCGCCGGGAGAGCGCCAAACAUCCCUGGACUAGAAGUGACGAGGAAAAUAAAGCAGCCAAGAAAGUUUAUUCUCUUUGCUGGUAUUUCUUCCACUUGACGCUUGUCUGAGAAACGCGUGCGAACUCCCUCUAGACUUCGCUAUUGCACGGCUUUCGUCGGUGAUGGCUUUUACUUGGCCGUGCCUGACAAAUCAUUAAACACACACGGUACUUUUAUCAUCCGGCAGAUCUGCUCAACUCCACCAGCAAAUGCCAGAGUCACCCCUUUCCUCCGUAUCACAAGGCUCAAAAACAACAGGACUAGAAAUAGACUUUAUCUGACAGUAACUCAGCUUUGCCCCCCUAUUUGAUUCCAACCGCUACACAGCAGGAAAGGAUAUUUUCCUUCUCUGCAUAGUCAAGAUCGGUUCAUCACCCACUAUGACUGUGUUUUAGCUCCUAGGAAGAGAGGAAGAAAAAGUACAGGAACACUCAUUUUGGGGAGUCCAAAUGAGAAGUUUGGCUCCCCUGCUGGACACAUCAUGUGGAGAGGAGAGUCUCUGAGAUUUUAUGUACAGGAAGAGAGGGAUAGUCAUCGCAGAGACCCAGUCGAGCGUCUAGAUGACUCCAGUUGCCAUCUGACUCUAACUGCAUGAGAGACCCUGAGUAAGACCAGCAGAAGAACUUCCCAGUGGAGCCAGCUAAUCCACAGAACAUUCUGCAAGAGAGGAAUUAACGCAAACUAGAACUGAGGAGGUCUGCAAGGAAACAUAACAAGAAAUACAGCAUUUCUAAGACACUGACUGUUUUGGAUAUGGUCAAAUGUACAGUUUACCUAUAGAUGUGAAACCAUGGGGAGCUACAUCAAGACCUGCUCAAGAUGACUGGACAUUUCUCCAGGAUGUGGAGACUAGAGGACGACAGUAGUGGUUGUGGCUGCAUGUCUGACACUCCUGCGCCACUUUUCCUGAACGGUUUGAGUGCCCCUCCCCUCUGGCCCCACAAUCUCAUCCCAGUGACUCCUGAGGUCCGAAGCAUCUUCAGGAUCUACAGCAUCUCUGACGAUGUCCAUCAGGGGAAAGGAGUUGCUUAUUAUAGAGGUCUCUACCAUUGGCCAGUGCUCAGUUUGUGGUCAACACUUGCUUGAUAUUCAGCGAGGCCCUGAACAGCCACUGAGCUGAGGUGUUACUGUUAACAGAGGUGCCUCGUUUUCUUAGUAGCCCCUACCUGGACCCCUAAAUUGUGACCGUUGAGUGCCUGGAUUCAGGUGAGCUCAGGUGUUUCCUUGUAUAACAACCCAUAAACGGGUUUCUUUAACAUGAGACUUUGUAAAUAGAAAUUGAGAAGAACCCAAACACUUUGAACUACACACGUUUAUUAAAUAGUUUAACAAAGGCACAUCAAUAACCACUUACUACAUAUAUGUGUGUGUGUGUGUGUGUGUGUGUAUAAAAUUAACACAGAUAUGUUUCUUUCUUAACUGCCAAUUUCCCCAAGAAAGAAUUGUUCAACUCUUCAGGUCAUGAAGGCUAAAGGCAAAGUCUCAGUCCCGAUCUUAAUCUCCCCCCCGCUCUUCUUGAGACCUACAUUGAUCCUCAAUGAGUUAGUUGACCAUCAUCUUCUGUGGCUGUAAUACUUAGAAGCAUGCUGACGGCAGAGACUCCUCAGAUCCCUUCUGCAUUCUCUCAAGUCCUGUCGGUAAUCAACAGGCUGUCUGCGUUAACAGGUGCUGUUGCCACUGCUUGUCGCUGUUCAACCACUGACAUUCUGUGAUCUUUCACCGAUUUCUCUCUUUGUAGUUGUACAUCCAUGCAAUGCACUGAAUCAUUCAUGGGGGAAAACCUCCCUCGUUCGCAUCAGGAAAAUGUAUGGUUUUUCCUGCGUCUCUUCUGCUUUGCCCCAGAUGCCCUGCCUGCCUCUGCGCUGACCACAAGUUUCUUCUUACACAGAUUGCGUCUUAUUCUGAUUUCCACUUUGCAAGGCUAUGCUUUUGCUUCAGGCUUCUGUUUCUAAAGACAGGAACCGGACCUCCUGUUCCUGUCACAAACCUCACCAUUCCAUCCAGGUGGCUGGCCUUUCUAUCAUUACCACUCUUGGCUUUUGUUCCCCCACAUAUCCAUGGUCUUCCUGCCUAAGGGAGAAGUGUAAAUCCAGGCACUGAAAGGAAAAUCUGGGAGGGCUCGGUUAGAUGAGCAUUUCUAGGACAAGAAAGACUAAAGAAAAAAAAAAUCUCAGUAUGUGUGUCCAUCUGUUGAAUAUUAGCAAGUAUAGGCAUUAGGCGAUUACAGAAAUGUGAUCACGCGUCAGGCUUAUCGCAGGUCAUGCUCUUUACUACAGAUGCUGACCACGUGAGUGGAUUCUGGCCCGUGGAACUGUGCAAUGUUUACUAUCUUGUCACUAUUUUGGGCUAUUAUAGAACUUUCCUGACAAUAACAGAAUUACAAGAGCCUUCUUUUUUGGCCUUCUUGAGGUCGUAAAUGAUGGUACCACUUGUCCAUAGGAAUUUGAUCGCUGCCCAAAUGCUGUUUGUUUCAGUAAAAACAUACAUCCCUGUCUAGGCAAGUGGCUGUCUGCUAUUUGACCACUGGAGAGUCAUGCCUUUUUAUUUUUUAAGUAAACUCUACACCCAACGUGGGCCUCAAACUUACGACUUGAGAUCAAGAAUCGCAUGGCUCUACUGACUGAGCCAGCCAGAUGCCUGGAGUCAUGCCUUUUAAAAUACAAACACUCCCAGGGGGCAGCACACAAACACUGCCAGUCUAAAACCAUAGCCUGAGUGGUCUCUUAGAUCUCAGCUCGGAGCCACUCUCCAUAGCCUGAGGUGCCCAGCAGGGAAGUUCCGAAGGAAAAAAGCCCAGAUUUGUCCGGGUUAGCAGGCCCGACAAGUUGCUACCUGGGGCUUCUAGGGAGCCAGAAGCCACCACAGAGAGACUCUUAGAAGAAAGCUGAACAAAGAGGUUGAAAAGCAUCACGCUAACCUUUACAUCCAUAUCCGGUUUUGCCUGUGGGUCAACUUCCCUCUGGCCAAGAGAAACUCCAUUUUGAUUGUGGUUGGGGAUGCCUGCCCUGAAUGCUUAUCAUUCAGCAGCUUCGAAGAGGAAAACAUAAACUGGAUUCUGAAGGGGCCAAAGACCUUUUGUAAAUGUCCAAGUGAACUGGUAUUCAUACUGGGAUUACCAGAGACUCACAGAAACAUGUACCACACGCCCACGGGCUCAAAGUCGGCUUACCGAGAAGUGCCAUAGUGGGAGGCACACGCAGCAGAAAGAGUAAAGCAGGGCACAAGGGACAAGGGAGCUCUUAGCUCUGUAUGAUUCGGCCGACACUGGAUUUCCUCCCUGGCUCUUUGCACAGUUACAGACACGUGAAGAAUACUUUAAUCUGUCACAGCCUCUCAUCUCAGCCAAAGCCUCUUCACCUGAGUUUUCUACCAGCCCGACUACCAAACAGUGGCCAAUCCAGAGAAAUUCCCAACUAGCGUUUUUUAAGUAUUUAGAAAUCUGUCAGAAUAAAAUAUUACCAAGUUACAUUUUGCUUUCUUAAAGAAGAAAAAUCAUUAUGUGUUCAUUCCAGUGCCAUUUGUUGGAGAAAACCAAUUUUAAGUGAGAGAAAACAUUUUGAUGGAAAAAUUCAUGCAUCUCAUUGUUAUGAAACCAUUGAUGCCCAUCUUGAAAAAAAUGAAAUGAACAACACUGGUUUCCUAUGUUCCACUGAAGAUGCAAGAUAGAGAUGAAUAACCAGAAAAUACAAACUUCUAAUAACGUAUCUUAUAAAAUGCCUCAGGAUUUCUGAAGCACAAUAGAAGCCAGUAAGCAUUAUCUCAAAAUGUUUAGUUUUCUUUUACUAAAAUACAAAUGUGCCUUUCCGGUGUUAGCAACUUCACUAUCAAAGAAAUAAUAUGUCUAAUACAAUGAAUGUAUUAUCUAUAUAAUUCAUAAUACUGAAGGCAUAUCUGGAAAUAAAUUUCUUCUAUGCAUGAAAUAGAUCUUUGAACCAAAUCAUAAAUUUAAAUUUUGUAUUAGAAUUACUAAAUAUUAGGGUUGAUAUACUAGAACAGGAGUCGCUUUUAAGUAAACUCCUAAUGUGUGAAUAUGGAUUCAUAAAAAAAAGACAUAACCAAGACAUUUACACAUUUUAUUAAAAACCAAAAAUAAACAAUGCAGAAGUAGCAUACUAAAAUGACUGCAUAAUGCACACUUCUAAACACAAACAAGCAGUAGAGCACUAUAAUUUGGGGGGGAAAACAGAAAAAAAGUCAAAGCAUCUAACCUAUUGAUAGCAGUUGAGGGAAUGAACUAUUGCAUUUUGGAGGCAAAAUAUGAUGCGAACAGUUUACAUUUCUGAACUAUUGUGGUCAUUAUUUAAAUUGUUAAUUGUUGCACGUGGCUAAUAAUUUUCUUCUCCACGGGUAUCUUCUGCCCCAAACGUGUGCUUCCAUUUUCUACAUCAUACUGGAACGUUGUUAUACAAACGUUACAGAAAGCUCUUUUAAAAAGAGUACAUUUAGGAAACUCUUUACAUUUAAAAGACUGUAACUUGGGGCCGUGAUAACAAAUGGCUCAUUUGCAAAUAAUCAAGCACUAACAGUAAUAAUAAAAGGAAAUGUAUUUUGAAAAGGGCAACCCCAGAACCCAAGGGUAUGAUGGCCAGAUCAUUCUCUCAACUGCUAGACACAAAAGACACAGCAACAGAAUAAUUUGGUUUCCAUCAUGAACAAAUAGCAUCUGUAUACAGACAUAAAGCUUUGCAACCAUGCAGUUCUAUGACAGAUAAAUCUUUAGGUUGUGUGUUUGGGAGAAAAGAGCAUGGCUUAAAGUUGGGUUACUUUUAGGUCUUGUUACAGAGGUAUUUUUUUUUUAAUUAAAGUAAUACAAUGUAGAAGGUGUACAAUGUAGAAGGUGAGAAUUUUUGCAAUACUUUCAAAUAGUUGUGGCUUAUUUUAUAGUGAUAUAUUUUUUUCCUUUCGGGUAUGCUAUAAUUGAGGAUGGGUUCUAUUUAAAGAUCAAAUUUCCUGGAAUAAUCCUGCUUUGGAGUAGUAAUGGAUGGUUCUUUCCAGGCCAGGUGGAGGCUCUGGAAACUGUAUGAACUAGUCUAACUGAACCCUUUCCCGGGUUUAAUUACAAAGGUCGUCCCUUUUUGGCCUCGAGUCAUUCACAUUUUUUUAUACUUCAUUCUCUAAUUUGACUUACUGAGAUAGAGCCACUGUGUCUGAGCUCCAAAGAGCGUGACCCAACGGCUGUCAGUGUGCACAACAUGCCAUCAAUUAAUCGGUUAUCUUUUGUGAUGCUGCUAGGUUCAUUCUUACUGUUUUAUAGAUGAUUCCUCACUUAAAAUCUUACAUGUCUAUUGACCUCAUGACAAUGUAUUCUCGUGGCGUACAGAUGCACAAGGAAGUGUCAACACAAGAACACAGGGUAAGUUGGGAAAGUAUGUUGGCGAUGAGGUUGGAGUUGGGAGUCCCUAACUACAGAAGGCAUGAAUGCUUACAUUUUAUACCAGUGGAAAUGCUGGUCAGACGGUUGGGCUGUUAGUUGUACAGCUGACUCUAAAUGAUUAAGGGCUGAAGGGAGAAAAAGAGAAAUUGCCAACCAACUGGCCCUGAGCUAUUGGACAACCGUUAAGGCUUGGUUGCUUGCUGGCUUUGGCGUACCUUCCUGUCUCUGUAAAUGAGGACCAUCAACAUGGGUAAGUGAUACUAAUACCAACUCCCUUAAUCCCAGGGUGGGUAACUUCUCCAAGGCGAGGGUGACACACCCCAAGACGUAAAAGACUCCAAGUACCAAUGGUCAUCCAUCUAACCUCAUUGCCUGGAGACGACAAAAAGUGAAAUGGUGACUGGUACGUGAUAGGGGAGCUCCAAUUGUCAGGGGCGGUCUGGUUAAAACAUUCUUUUCCAGCUCCAUAUGUAAGAUUGGGACUGGUUCUCUUCUGUUAGGUCAAGCAGUGGGAGGCUGUAGCAGCACAGUGAAGCACUUUCUAAUCUGGUAAAGGGAAGUCAGAAAACAGCUUCCACUGAACAGCUGUGCCAGGGGUAUUUUGUUGUUGUUGUUAGAGGGAACGAAAUGCCCCAAGCUGGCCACACUUGAUUGUUAAAUUAAGUCUUUCAAUGGUUGCCGAUUUGGUUUUAGGAUAAGGAUUUUAAAGGGGGAAAUAGUGGUGAAUGUUAACAAUUUGAUUGUCACUGAAAUGGGUAUUAAUUGAUGUAACUGAUACCUCUCAAUAUGGAGUUUCCUAUCAAAGAUGACAUCUCUGUUGAUCAGAAUGGAACUCUCCAUCUUGUAACUUACAGGGUGUUUUACUGCUUGCAACCACUGAAAAAAGAAAACCUUUGCCAGAACCCUGCCUGGUGCGUGUGUGUGUGUGUGUGUGUGUGUGUGUGUGUGUGCGUGUUUACAAUGGAGAGUAAAUUUAAAAAGCAAACAAUCUGUGCUACUGGUCCUGCUUGGUAAAAGAAGAAGUACUGUCACUUUCAGUCAGUGCUAUUAGCUGAAGUUGACCUGUUACCCGUUACCAGUCUUUUCUUUUGGUGACCUACCUGUAGCAAACCAGAAAGCUUCCGCAACAGCAAAGCAACAUCAGGCUUUAGUUACGUCUUCUUAAGCAAAAUCCCCCUCUUCCUCAAGGCCUUAGAAAUACCUCUAUCUUACUAACUUUUCCACUAUUAUCACAGAUUUCUUAUAUUAAAAAAACAAAAACUCCAAGCAUAGUGUUCAUGGACUAUGUACAUAAGUGCAAAAAAGGUGUUUCUCACACAGUCGCACCCUAACUGAGACCAUCAGUUGGCUGCAGCAUAUGCCUCUCAAACACUGUUAAGGGGUCAUUCCACAGUAUCUUUAUGCGUGGUUUUACAAAUUGGAAUUGAUUUCAAAAUAGGCUUUCAUCAUUCUUCAAUCCUCACUUGGAUAUAUUUGUGUGAGUACACAAUUCCAGAAAAGAGAAUUUUUGCCGUGACAGCUACGCCUCCUGCACGGGGUAAUUUGGAAAACACAAUGUCAUGAAAAAAGGUCAGGUAACAGAUUAUAAAUGCAAUAAUUGUGUUUUGGAGUCUAAACACUGUGGAAUAACCCUAUCCACACAACAAAUUCUAUAAGCUAUAAAGCUGACCCUAGAAUCCAUGUGUUGUAAACUUUUUGAUCCAAAAGUCAUACAAGGACACACAUUCAGCGUUUGCGUGGCAAUUUGGGCUUCAAGGACAAUUCCGCUAGAUCUGUUCUCUGAGUUUUGAGCUGUACCUUCUACAGGCUCAUACUGCCAAAAACCAUGUAUAGUUCACAAGUAAAAUUAUUAUCAAAAAAAUGUGUCUAAAGGUAGCCAUGUUGUAGUUUUGUUGCUCAAGCAACGACUAAAUAUAAUUAGUUAAAAAUUAUUAUUUGUAUAUAAAGUUAAGUUUGUUCUUAAACUGUGAGCUGUAAAGAAUAACUAUGGACUAUAAUCUCUAUGUUGUCAUGCUUCAGUAUCAGUGUCAAACCUAUCUAGGUGGGUUGAAUACAUGUAGUAAAAUCCAACUUUCUCUAACUCUCCUUCAAAAUUAAGUUCAUGAGUUACUUAGAUACAAAAAACGUAGUAAAAUGAAAACCUUAAAAACUAAAAAAGAAAAAUGAAAACAUGGCACCAAUCGGUGACUUGGUGCUCAGAACCCAGAUCUUGUAAUUAAAUCGACAGUUUGAUGAUGCAAUCAACUAAGUUUGCAAAAAAAGUUGUGACACUCUUUUCGAUACUAUUCAUUCCGGUGCCUUUGACAGGCACUGACUGGUACAAUGAAAAAUCAGGCCACUAUCUUCCUACAUCUAUUCAACAGAAUUGGGGAAUCAGAUUUCCCUACUUCUAUUUAAACGUGUGUAGAAAUGGAGAAGAGACAAAAAGAGGACAACACUUAACGGCAAGAUCAAAGUGCUUUCACGUGUUCAAAAAACGGAUGGCGAAGGUGGAUGGAGGAGGGAGAAGAUGGCUUUUCACAUGACAACGAACUACAAAUUAGACUCUAGUCUAGACAAAUGAGAUGAAACGCAACAGCUGGUCAGAGAAUCAUGCUCCAAUUUUCAAAGUAAAUACUGUAUUUAAGUAGCAAUUUUAUGAAUCCAUUUGGUUUUAAUUUAAUCUUUAUCCCUCUUUAAAAUAUACUUAUGGUCACAUAGUGCCUUUUGAAAAAAAAAUUUUGGAUACUACUAAAACCCUCUUAACAGAUAACUUCUAGAUGAUUUUCUCUGUAUACCUGACCUGUUUUAUCCAAGUUUCAGUACUCUGGCCUAAUUUUACAAAAGGCUGAGUGAGAGAAGUGGACAAAGACAAUAAUUUUGGAUAAAUAAGAAUAGAAGCCCUUGUCAUAUACAAAGCUUAUAAAAUGUUAACUAAGAAUCACAAGUGGUUGGAAUUUAAUAUAUACAAUUCAUCCAGUAAAUUGUUGUUUAGAGUCACUGAUUAGUCUUGUGACUUGGCUUUUGAACUGCGAAUUUAUAGUCUAAUGACUUUCCUUUCUUCUUUUCUUGAAUAAACAUAAUUUGAAUAAGA